CGAGCCGUUUGAACCGUUACACCGGAUCCCCGAAGCCCAGAUAUUUCCCUCGCGGGAAGAAUGGGAUCGUGACAACCUCGUCUUUGUGGCAUUGAUUACGCGACGCGACUUUACCACCACAACUGAUUCAUUCAGCUCGCGACGCGACGCGAGAUGUGGGUCACGAUCUAUGAGGUUAGAUCUUUUCCGUACUGUUAAUUUUUACUUCCUGAAUUCUUGACGGAAGAAAUAGCUUUUUAUUCUUGGAUCUUCAAGAAAAG